CGAACGCNGGCGGCGGGCCUAACACAUGCAAGUCGAACGCACUCGACCUUCGGGUCAUAUGAGUGAGUGGCGAACGGGUGAGUAACACGUGAGAAACCUGCCCCGAAGACUGGAAUAACCCGGGGAAACUCGGGCUAAUACCGGAUGUCCCCAUCGGAUCGCAUGGUCUGAUGAGGAAAUGCUCCGGCGCUUCGGGAGGGUCUCACGGCCUAUCAGCUAGUUGGUGAGGUAAUGGCUCACCAAGGCAACGACGGGUAGCUGGUCUGAGAGGACGAUCAGCCACACUGGGACUGAGACACGGCCCAGACUCCUACGGGAGGCAGCAGUGGGGAAUCUUGCGCAAUGGGCGAAAGCCUGACGCAGCCACGCCGCGUGAGGGAUGAAGGCUCUCGGGUUGUAAACCUCUUUCAGCAGGGACGAAAUUGACGGUACCUGCAGAAGAAGCUCCGGCCAACUACGUGCCAGCAGCCGCGGUAACACGUAGGGAGCAAGCGUUGUCCGGAUUUAUUGGGCGUAAAGAGCUCGUAGGCGGUUCGGUAAGUCAGGUGUGAAAGCUCGAGGCUCAACCUCGAGAAGCCACCUGAUACUGCUGUGACUUGAGUCCGGUAGAGGAGUGUGGAAUUCCUGGUGUAGCGGUGAAAUGCGCAGAUAUCAGGAGGAACACCUACAGCGAAGGCAGCACUCUGGGCCGGUACUGACGCUGAGGAGCGAAAGCGUGGGGAGCGAACAGGAUUAGAUACCCUGGUAGUCCACGCCGUAAACGUUGGGCACUAGGUGUGGGGUCGAACUAACCGAUUCCGUGCCGUAGCUAACGCAUUAAGUGCCCCGCCUGGGGAGUACGGCCGCAAGGCUAAAA
rnacentral:rRNA from 1 species